rnacentral:rRNA from 1 species
UACGAAGGGGGCUAGCGUUGUUCGGAAUUACUGGGCGUAAAGGGCGCGUAGGCGGCCUAUCAAGUCGGGGGUGAAAGCCUGUGGCUCAACCACAGAAUUGCCUUCGAUACUGUUUGGCUUGAGUCCGGAAGAGGUUAGUGGAACUGCGAGUGUAGAGGUGAAAUUCGUAGAUAUUCGCAAGAACACCAGUGGCGAAGGCGGCUGACUGGUCCGGUUCUGACGCUGAGGCGCGAAAGCGUGGGGAGCAAACAGG